rnacentral:rRNA from 2 species
GGCCCAGAUCGUUUACCGUGAAAAAAUUAGAGUGUUCAAAGCAGGCAGAUCCAAUUUUCUGCCACCGAAUACAUUAGCAUGGGAUAAUGGAAUAGGACCCUGUCCUCCUAUUUUCAGUUGGUUUUGGCAGCGCGAGGACUAGGGUAAUGAUUAAUAGGGAUAGUUGGGGGCAUUAAUAUUUAAUUGUCAGAGGUGAAAUUCUUGGAUUUAUGAAAGAUUAACUUCUGCGAAAGCAUCUGCCAAGGAUGUUUUCAUUAAUCAAGAACGAAAGUUAGGGGAUCGAAGACGAUCAGAUACCGUCGUAGUCUUAACCAUAAACGAUGCCGACCAGCGAUUAGGAGACGUUGAAUACAAAACACCACCAUCGGUGCGGUCGUCCUUGGCGUCUCGGUCCUUCACGGGGCCGGGGCGCGGGGGCGGCUUAGCCCGGUGGCACCGGUGAAUGACUCCCCUAGCAGCUUGUGAGAA